GUUUUACGUGUAUUAAUGUGAAACACACCGAGGUUAUCGAUACUUACUCUCGUUGUUUUACGUGUAUUAAUGUGAAACACCGAGGUUAUCGAUACUUACUCUCGUUGUUUUACGUGUAUUAAUGUGAAACACCGAGGUUAUCGAUACUUACUCUCGUUGUUUUACGUGUAUUAAUGUGAAACACACCGAGGUUAUCGAUACUUACUCUCGUUGUUUUACGUGUAUUAAUGUGAAACACCGAGGUUAUCGAUACUUACUCUCGUUGUUUUACGUGUAUUAAUGUGAAACACCGAGGUUAUCGAUACUUACUCUCGUUGUUUUACGUGUAUUAAUGUGAAACACACCGAGGUUAUCGAUACUUACUCUCGUUGUUUUACGUGUAUUAAUGUGAAACACCGAGGUUAUCGAUACUUACUCUCGUUGUUUUACGUGUAUUAAUGUGAAACACCGAGGUUAUCGAUACUUACUCUCGUUGUUUUACGUGUAUUAAUGUGAAACACACCGAGGUUAUCGAUACUUACUCUCGUUGUUUUACGUGUAUUAAUGUGAAACACCGAGGUUAUCGAUACUUACUCUCGUUGUUUUACGUGUAUUAAUGUGAAACACACCGAGGUUAUCG